UACGUAGGGGGGCAAGCGUUGUCCGGAUUUACUGGGCGUAAAGAGCGCGCAGGCGUCGUACAAGUCGCGUGUGAAAGCCCCCGGCUCAACUGGGGAGGGUCACGCGAUACUGUUCGACUCGAAGGCAGGAGAGGGAAGCGAAUUCCCGGUGUAGUGGUGAAAUGCGUAGAUAUUGGGAAGAACACCGGUGGCGAAGGCGGCGACCUGGUCCGUGACUGACGCUGAGGCGCGAAAGCGUGGGGAGCAAACAGG
rnacentral:rRNA from 1 species